UGAAAGUGCAAUUUUAAUUUGUUUAAUACGCUGAGCGAUGAAUCAAUCAUGGAAUUCCGAAUUAAUACUUCAACUUGUACUCAAAUUUAAUAACUGAAUAAGCAUAAGCUGUAAUGAAGAUUUAAAUUGAUCAGAUAAGAUUGGAAACAUGCAACGUGGAAUCCAAAGUAGUUAGAUCACUGGAAAUCUCAGUUAGAUCACCAGCAUAGUUCUCCAAAAUGCAAUUGUUAAAGUAUCAUCAGAGAUCUAUCAAAGAUUAGAAAACAGCGUUGACACAAAAGCGUUGGUUCAGUUACAGGCAUCAUUACCCCAGCAAAUAAACAAGAAGAAUACACAUGAAAAUUAUCCAGUAUCAUCGCGGAUUACCAAGAAUUUUCUAACAGCUCAAUACAUCUGUACAGGUGUUAAACAGAUUUAUAUCUACACGAUAGUUAUUCGAAUACCUAUUUAAACAUACAAACACGUCCGUGAGUCCCAGAUACUCGAAGGUUCAUUAGAAACGAUUUAUAGUUAACGCAACCUUCAGUGUUAUAAUCUCGGAUCAAUUUCUCACAAACGCAAUUGAGUUUUGCUAAUGUAAACGGUGUCCAUGGAACGUGACUUUGGGAACGGUUUGUUACGUCCAGAUACAUACGUAUUAUAGACUCAUAAUCCGAGUCCAUUGAACCUAACUGUCCAGUAUUAUAUAGCGAUUGGAACUAGACAAAAAGAGAGGCCAUCCGUUGCCUUCGCAUAGAAGUUCUUCUAUUUCGAUCUAUGUGUUGGUUCAUUAACGACGAGGCCUAAUUAUACCGUUCUCUAUGACAGAACAUUAUUGAAACGUCGACCAAGACCUGAAAGCGGAUAAUCAAGGAUGUGCAUAUAACCGUCGGCUACAUUUCUGCGCAUAUGCAAUCUUCUAAUAGAUACAAAAAAGGGUCAUAAAGUUAACGAAGCGAGGAAAGCCAAGCAACAAUUAAGCGACAUCGAUUGCAACCCGUUAACAGGAAGUCGUUCCACGUCUAUCGAUAAAUUCAGCGUGUAUGCGCUCUAGAUGGAAUCCACGAUGCAUCAUUGUCUCUUCCACAUCGCCACGGGUAUCCUUUCCUCGGUUGAAUUCAUUUGGUAUUCCAGCCGAAGUAUGCCAGCGAAGUAACAGUACCUAACCGACGACCAGGGUGAGCCGUGAAACGGUCCACCUCUGGUGGUCCUAGCUGCCAGCUAGGUCAGUGCCACCUUGGGAUUUAAUGUCACUCGAGUGAGUGGUGCAACAAAAACGGGGAACAACGACACGGAGAUGUGACUCUGGACGGAGGAAACUCGGACGAUGAUAAUGGAAGUUGUAGGAGUGCCGGUAAACAGGCUCCGAAUACACGCCAGGUUGCGACUGGAACGAGGAGAGAGGAAGAUGAACGACAGCAUUGUUAUCGUUGAUUUAAUCACGCUCUUUAUUGUAUUCUUUCUGGAUCUUCUUUUUCUGAACACGCUUUUAAUUAUCCCAUUCUUAUGAGCGUUUUUUAUUCAAGACGCGACACGAGAGUUUGUAAACUUUUGGGAUAUUCGGAUGCGUUUUAAUAUUUAUGGAACCUUGUAUGAAACAUUUUGAAGCCAAGUAAUUAACGAAUCAUUUAUCGUAUUUUAGUGGCCGAACGGUGAGCAUUGUGCAAAAGACAGAAGAUAGAACGGUAUAAUUCGUAGUAUCAUUAUUGAUGCGCGAGGCGUGUUCAUUCAUGCGAAUACGUUCUUCGAACACGGAACUCGCGUGCAGUAAUCUUCCGGAACAAUUUUCUGCCUUUACAUUGUAACGCAACAAAGAUGAAAAAUCGGCCGGGGGAUUACGGACAUUAUUCUCGCCCAAUGUUGAAGCUGAUAGCGAUUUGUCUGCGACUCGCAUUCUUAAGGUUUCUCAGCAUCGACAAAAGGACGGGAGAUACAGUACUGCCAUCCUUCUGUAUUAUUCGAUGCAGACCUCUACGCGAGAGAACUCUUGCCAUAUGGUUCCUUUGUAAAUUAUUAACGAGAAUACGCCUGUCGCGGCCGGUAUUGGUAUAUCGAUAAAUCAUAGCCAAGGGUCUUAUUGUUAAUAUCGUGGAUCGUUGGUCACAGCAUCGCACGUGGAAUCCUGUAAUUACUUAAGCUGACCAAGCAGGAUGCCUUAAGGACUGUAGUUCGAAUCACGGUGGCGCGGAUUAUCAGAUAUCGGUAUCUUUCGUGAUUGAUAUUCGUCAAUGGCGUCGCACGAGAAUUGCAUAUGCAUCUCGUAUAUCAACCGAAGAACAAAAAUUGUAACAAACGAUUUGUUACUCCGAAUCUGGAUAUUUUUUCAAUAAACAUGGAAAGGAUGAACGGGAGAAGAAUGCACUCGGCUCGGAAACAAUGGCGUAUCUGUUGCUCGAGGGUCAAUGGACAUUACAAGGUUACGUAACGUUUCGAGAAAAAUAGUAAUGUGAAACUUGUUAUUGGAUGGUCACUGCUGAAACGUGGAAUAAGGCAAAUAACUUUUUAAGAUACUCAGUACGUAGUUACGGAGGACUCAAGAAGGAACUCUGUGUUGGUAACUUUUUCAAGUACUCAAGAAGUUUUUGUGGCAACCAAAAAUUAUGUACUUCGUGCAAUAAUAUUUUUAUUUAUGCUCGCUUAUCUGUGUGCCGAAUAAAAAUGCAAUUUUUGAAACUACUCUGAGAAUCAUAUCUAUAGAUA